CCCGUAGGUGAACCUGCGGAAGGAUCAUUACAGAAUAAACCUGGCUAGUUGUUGCUGGCUCUCUCGGGAGCAUGUGCACGCUGGUCACUUUUAUCUUACCACCUGUGAACCACUUGUAGAUCUGGAGGCAUUUUUCACGGACUUUGUCUGUGGUUUUUGGGAGCUGCCGUGCCCUUUUACUAGGGUCGACUCUUCCUGGCCUUCAGGUCUAUGUCUUUACAUCUACUCCAUAGAAUGUAAACGAAAGAAACAAUGGCAGCUUUAUUGCAGCCUAUAAAACUUGUACAACUUUCAGCAACGGAUCUCUUGGCUCUCGCAUCGAUGAAGAACGCAGCGAAAUGCGAUAAGUAAUGUGAAUUGCAGAAUUCAGUGAAUCAUCGAAUCUUUGAACGCACCUUGCGCUCCUUGGUAUUCCGAGGAGCAUGCCUGUUUGAGUGUCAUUAAAUUCUCAACCAUCUUUGUCUUUUUGAUAACUGAUGCGUUGGAUGUGGGGACUUGCCAUUUCUUUAAAAGACUUGGCUUCCCUUAAAUGCAUUAGCUAGAGCACUUCUACUAGCUGCUAGUGUGAUAAUUAUCUACACUGCGGCCAACGAAGAAAACUCUGCUUCUAACCGUCUGCUUGCAGACAAUAU
rnacentral:rRNA from 1 species